rnacentral:rRNA from 1 species
UACGAAGGGUGCUAGCGUUGUUCGGAAUUACUGGGCGUAAAGCGUGCGUAGGCGGCUUAUCAAGUCAGGGGUGAAAUCCCACAGCUUAACUGCGGAACUGCCUUUGAAACUGAUAAGCUAGAGUCUUGGAGGGGAUAGCGGAAUUGCUAAUGUAGAGGUGAAAUUCGUAGAUAUUAGCAGGAACACCGGUGGCGAAGGCGGCUAUCUGGACAAGUACUAACGCUCUGGCACGAAAGCGCGGGGAUCAAACAGG